rnacentral:lncRNA from 1 species
AAAAUUAGCCAGGCGUGGUGUGCGUGCCUGUAAUCCUAGCUACUCGGGAGGCUGAGGCAGGAGAAUCACUUGAACCCGGGAGGCAGAGGUUGCAGUGAGCCGAGAUUGCGCCAUUGCACUCCAGCCUGGGCGACAAGAGUGAAACCCCACUCAAAAAAAAAAAAAAGUAUAUAUAUAUAUAUAUAUACCAGUCACAACAACAGCAAUGAUAAAGGCUAAUGAUUGCUGAGGGUUUGCUAUGUGCAAGUGCAUUUUUUCACGUAAUCCUCACAGUAGCACCAUGAGACUGUUCUCAGCCUCAUUUUAACAAACAAACAAAAAACAAGCUUGGCCACCUGAUAAGAUCCUCCCUGCGCAGUGGGUAGGUCCCACCAUAAACAAAACAAAACAAAACAAAUUCCAGCUCAAAAGACUGCUAAGAAAGCCCAGAUUGGAGGAAGGGGACUUAUCCCUCAGCUUCUGAUAGCUGAGUGA